GCUGUCUGUGUGUGUCCGUCAGCACACACAAGACGUCUGUGGGUGUCCGUCAGCACACACUGGACGUCCGAGUGUGUCCACUAGCACACACAGGGCGUCCGCGGCUGUCCGUCUGUGUCCGUCAGCACACACAAGAUGUCUAUGGCUGUCCAUCAGUACACAUAUCAGCAAGUUGGUACUUGAACUCAGCACGCGGGCCCUUCCUGUGGACUGUUCGGGUGAUUUUGGCCCACGUGGGCUGUCUGUUCAGU
rnacentral:lncRNA from 1 species